GACGAACGCUGGCGGCACGCUUAACACAUGCAAGUCGAACGGAGAAUAUCGAAGCUUGCUUUGAUAUUCUUAGUGGCGGACGGGUGAGUAACACGUGAGUAACCUGCCUCUGAGAGUGGGAUAGCUUCUGGAAACGGAUGGUAAUACCGCAUGAAAUCAUAGUAUCGCAUGGUACAAUGAUCAAAGAUUUAUCGCUCAGAGAUGGACUCGCGUCUGAUUAGCUAGUUGGUAAGGUAACGGCUUACCAAGGCGACGAUCAGUAGCCGGACUGAGAGGUUGAUCGGCCACAUUGGGACUGAGACACGGCCCAGACUCCUACGGGAGGCAGCAGUGGGGAAUAUUGCACAAUGGGGGAAACCCUGAUGCAGCGAUGCCGCGUGGAGGAAGAAGGUUUUCGGAUUGUAAACUCCUGUUGAAGAGGACGAUAAUGACGGUAC
rnacentral:rRNA from 1 species